GGAAGCACAUAAGUUUGUGGUUGAAUCUGUUACUAAGCAGAGGUAUUCCAGCAAUGCGAACUACAGUUUGCUUGCAGCCCUUCAUUUGAAUAAAGGCAAUGUACUGCAAGCCUCGAAGAUUCUGCAUGAGAUGAUGGAUAAGGGUCUUAAACCUAAUUUUCGGGUUUGCCUGUCGGUAAGUAAGCGUCUUGAGAAGUCAAAAAAAGCAAUGCAGUCAGAAUUAAUGAGGAGAUACUGGAGCAUUAUAGAGAAGUAAAUGCAAAUGCUGAAUUUUGUAGACAGGUUUUGCUAAAUGCUCAGCAUUUCCCUUGUAAACUUCAAGUGGAUGAGUUUUGACCAGCUAAUCACAUGUGCUUAAUGAGGUCUAUGCAAGCGACUUAAAGUUGAAAGGGUGUGUUUACAUUGAUCCUUCUUUGAAAAAAGUGUUUGAAAACACCCUGAAGGCUAAAGUUGGUAGGGUGCGUUUGCAUUUAUCCCCUGUUUUAAGUUUCAAAUUGUGGGAUGACUAUAUGAGCUGCUGAUAUUUACUAAAAUAGGAUUUAUGGCGAUGAGCAAUUAUAUAUGUAAUAAUGUGAUUUAUCAGCACCUCCUAGAGGCAUUUAACGUGCAUCCUAGAGGAGAUGAAAAGAAGUUCUAAAUUAAAGCUCCAUUGUUUUCGCUGGAAAGGAUUUUAUAAGAAAAUAAUAAUAACUUUUCCUAUUUUUGCUUCAGUCGCUGCUACUAUUAACAUACAACUGCCAUUGUCUUCUGUCAUCAAUAAUUGAGGACCGUUGACAUAAUUAGAGUUCAAGAUCUUCAGUUGAAGUUUGUUUUAUUACGAUAGUAAUUGAGGCUGGAAGUGAUCUGGAAGCAAGAUUUUGUAUGUUCUUCGAACAUGGUGAGGGAAUGUGGUGUGACAAUAAGCCUUGAAGUAAGAGAAGCUACCAGCUAUGCUUGUCAUCAAGAUUGUUAUGUGUAGGUUGUGCUUGGAAGACCCUGAAAAGUAUUAAGGUGAGCAUGUGGUUUUCUGGAUUGGAUUUGCAGCUUGGUUAACGGGAGAAAUAUUUUCUUGUCAAAAUAUCUUUUUCUAGGUGAUACUUAUUCUUGUCAAAGCAUUUGAUGUACUGAGAUGAUGUAAACCAUACCAAGCGCAUGUAAGUAUGCAUAACAUUAGCUCUUGAAAAUUUAGACCAUUUCAGAACACGAUUAAUUUGGUGCUCACAUGAGAGAAAUAAAGAGAACUAGCGGUCCUCAUAUUUAGCAUCUUGCUUUUUCCUGAAAUUCAUGAUGUUCAUUCUGUUGAGAAGUUUAGAAGAUUCAAAUCUAUUUGUUUGGACUCGGUUCUGAUUCAAGUUUAUUCAUGAUUGACUUGAUUUGUCUAUCUCUUGUA